GAUGAACGCUGGCGGCGUGCUUAACACAUGCAAGUCGAACGGAAAGGCCGAAGCUUGCUUCGGUACUCGAGUGGCGAACGGGUGAGUAACACGUGGGUGAUCUGCCCUGUACUUCGGGAUAAGCUUGGGAAACUGGGUCUAAUACCGGAUAUGACAAUCUCUUGGAUGGGGUUGUGGAAAGCUUUUGCGGUAUGGGAUGAGCUCGCGGCCUAUCAGCUUGUUGGUGGGGUAAUGGCCUACCAAGGCGUCGACGGGUAGCCGGCCUGAGAGGGUGUACGGCCACAUUGGGACUGAGAUACGGCCCAGACUCCUACGGGAGGCAGCAGUGGGGAAUAUUGCACAAUGGGCGCAAGCCUGAUGCAGCGACGCCGCGUGGGGGAUGACGGCCUUCGGGUUGUAAACUCCGUUCGCAACCGACGAAGCUUUUUGUGACGGUAGGUUGAGAAGAAGCACCGGCUAACUACGUG
rnacentral:rRNA from 1 species